GACAGGGGGCUCGAGCGUUAAUCGGAAUCACUGGGCUUAAAGGGUGCGUAGGCGGGCCAGUAAGCGCUUCGUGAAAUCCCCCGGCUCAACCGGGGAACCGCGGGGCGAACUGCUGGUCUUGAGGAAGCUAGAGGCGGGUAGAACGAUAGGUGGAGCGGUGGAAUGCGUAGAUAUCUAUCGGAAUGCCGAAAGUGAAGACAGCCCGCUGGGGCUUUCCUGACGCUGAGGCACGAAAGCGUGGGGAGCGAACAGG
rnacentral:rRNA from 1 species